UUUAAGUGUAGCCAUGAGUUUCCGUGUCCAACGUUUGACCAUCCGUCUUAUUUUAAAUUUUUUAUUAUUAUUAGAUGAUAAAACAUGAAUAGUACUUUAUGCAUGAUUCAUUUUUGUUAAAAUUUUCAAAUAAGACAGACGGUCAAACAUUUGACACGGAAAAUCACAACUGCACUUAAA
rfam:Oryza rufipogon genomic scaffold, chr07